GACGAACGCUGGCGGCGUGCUUAAUACAUGCCAGUUGAACGGUAAGGCCCGGUACUUGUGGGAUGCGGGUGUGGCGAACACGUGUGUGUCACGCGUGGAACCUGUCCCUUUCAGCGGGGUAACUCCAUGAAACAGGAGUGAUUAUCCGACAUAAACUCUUUCUACAUGGGUUUUAUGUGAAAGUUUUGGCGGUUGGGGAUUCACAGGCGGUUUAGCAGCUUGUUGGUGAGGUAGUGGCUUACCAAGGCUUUGACGGGUAGCCGGAUUGAGAGGGUGACAGGCCACAUUGGGACUGAGAUACGGCCCAGACUCCUACGGGAGGAAGCGGUGGGGAAUAUUGCACAAUGGGCGGAAGCCUGAUGCAGCAACGCCGCGUGCGAGAUGACGGCCUGCGGGUUGUAAACCGCUUUCGCCUGUGACGAAGCGUGAGUGACGGUAAUGGGUAAAGAAGCACCGGCUAACUACGUG
rnacentral:rRNA from 1 species